UACAGAGGUCUCAACCGUUGUUCGGAUUCAUUGGGCGUAAAGGGUGCGUAGGCGGUCGCGUAAGUCAGGUGUGAAAUCCCGGGGCUCAACCCCGGAACUGCAUUUGAUACUGCGUGGCUCGGGUACUGGAGGGGAGACUGGAAUUUACGGUGUAGCAGUGAAAUGCGUAGAUAUCGUAGGGAAGACCAGUGGCGAAGGCGAGUCUCUGGACAGUUACCGACGCUGAGGCACGAAGGUCAGGGGAGCAAACGGG
rnacentral:rRNA from 1 species